CAUCCUUCUACUCUUACUGAUACUGUUGACCUGGGUUCCUUGUGUGCUCCUCUGCACUCUACCGAGGUGCAAAACUUGACUUCUCUAGUGGCUCUGAUCACAGCCUUGUCCCACCAAUGGGAUGGUCCCUCCAGUCCUGUCUGGAUCUUAAUGCUGUUUGCUGAAGUCCAUGAGCCUUAACCCAAAUCAGCUGAAGAAAGAAUCAGACCCAAAGAAGAGUUCCUGCAAUUUAAUGAAACAUGGUGACAGCUUCUGGAAGAAGAGUACUGCAACUCACACCUGGACACCCAGUCUGAAUGUCUAUCAGGCCUUGAUAACCAAAAUGAACUGGAAAGAAAUGCAGUAACUUCCUUACCAUACCCCAGAGAUCAAUGGCAUAGAAUUCCCAGGAAGGGACUGGAGAAGUCUCCCAGCUUGCCAGAUAUCCAUGAAUCCAAACGGAAAAGAGAACAGGGCACAUGACACUUAAUCCCAGUGUGAGCAAAGGCUGCCCUCAUACCCAGAAAAACAACUGAUAGCUAACAUAGGACUGAGACCUCCGGGAAGCUGUCCAGGAGCAAUAUCUCCUCUGUGGAAGACAAAAGCUUGGGACAAACUCCAAGGUCUUCUCUGCAUGGGUAGUGGGAAGGGAACAGUGUAAUGUUUGGGAUCACCUGAGCUAGCUGGCAUCCAGGUGUUGAGGUUUAUUGCACCGGAGUUUCCAUAAAGAAAUUUUUCAUCAAUUAGGAAUGCGUGUACUUUUUCAAAGAAACUCAGGGGGUCUGCAGAGCCUGAUGGAUAUGCUUAUGAAUUUCAAAGUGGCAAUGUGGAGUGUAGCUAGCAAGACAUGAGCCAUUGCAGAAAGAUGAAUUCAUAGGCAGGACUUUUUAGAGAAUGGAUUUGAGAAUGAAAGACUAAUUCCACCAACCUGCUUCAUUCAUUUAUUUAAAUUUUUGCUAUAAAAUGAACAGCAGAGGAAAGCCAAAACUUGCACUGAUGACUUUCCUUCUUUUCCCUAACCUUCUUUUAUUUAUUAAACUGCUCUGGAUACACCUUUCAAAGAACUUUUUUUUUUUUUUUGGCUCACUGUUUAUUAUAGCUUCAUCAGCCUUGAAAUGGGAGCUGCAGGCAGCUUGAUAAAUGGAUUGAAAAGCUGCUUCUGCCAGAAUCAAACUAACAAAACCCCCUCAAUAUCCAUAAACCAUUUUGUUUUAGCAUUUCUAAAACCAGCACGAUUUCCCUCAGAGCAUCAUUGAAGAGUGACGCACCAGUAUCCCUCAGUGUUUCAGCAAAGGGAUUACUUUAUCCAGUUGUGCCCAGGGCAGAAGUUCGUCACUGGGUCAUGAACAGGACUCAGCCUGCAGCAUUGGAGAGCAAGGGCAGCUGGGGUAUGGUCGAGGGAGGGACAGAGAGACGGUCCUAGGAAGGCUGAGCAAAUCUUAACUCUGAAAUGUGCUGUGCAGAUCAAUGGAGUAAACAAGCCAAGACGUAUGAAGUUGGGUCCUGCUCACAGACACUAGCAGCUGUCCUGCUUCCGUACAGCUAUUUUUUACUUAGCAUCCUGCUUCUACCAGUGAGGAAUCACUGACACCAUGACAAAACUUGAUGGACGUAGGAAGAGGUGUCCUGCCUGGGUAAUAGUUACUUGACCUCCAGCAGAAGGAAGAAGAUAUUUAUUUCCUCUGUCAGUGGAGAACUUUUGUGAACGGUAAGCCACAGCAGUACAACCUUACCUACUAGAAGGUGGGAAACCCAUCAACUGCUAGAGAGAGAUCCUGCUCCUUAUUUCCUAAGGAAACCUGUAAUCAUCAGCUAAGGAGAGGAUGAGGUGUGAGGGGCUGCCCUGGAUCUAGUCCAGUUGGUGCAUUUUUAUCUCAGAGGGAAUUUUUCAAGGAGACAGCUAUCAUCAGUAUAUGACUUUUGGGCAACCAGAGCUGAAUUAAUCAAGAGAGAUCUUUGGCUUACCAAAUGUGCCAGUAAUAGGAAGUCAUCCUGGACUGAGCACAUCCAAUGUUCAGACUCAGUAGGACUCGGGUUUAGCUCAGAUUUGCACCCAGGGCAGAUUCCAAUAGGCAUAGACUUUGAACCUAGACACUUUCCACCUAUCUGAAUAUGGUGGGAAAAUUGCAGUGCCCUUGGCAUCUGCAUAAGAGAAGCAUUCACCUGGUAGUUCAUAGCCAUGUCUACUGUGGAGCUCAAUGGUUGUGAUGAACUUGGGUAAGCUGCAAAAUGGAUAGAUGAAAUGCCUUACUUAAAAGUGGCUCAAAGGAGCAGCAGAAGCUAUGAGCAACUGGGAGAGGUCUCUGGAGGGAGCAGGACAGACACAGCUGAGCCGCCUUUCCCAGAGUCUACUUAGCAUGGGCCAAAGCCCUCAUUUACUAUUGACUGGAGGGAUGUUUUACAAGUGCCCCUGCUGGUUUAGAGAGAUAUGAAAUCUGUCUGUAAUUAAGUUAAUUUGGAGUUGAACACGGGCAAAGAUAAUAAGCUGGAAAUAACAAAAGAAGAGUAAGAAAGAGGAGAAGGAGUUGCUAAGAAACAGAUCUCUUGCACUAAAUCCUCCCCCCCAAUCAAAUAAACCAUUUUUAGGAUGGCUGAGCGAUGGGGCAGACAGAGCACAGGCAUGGAAAUGAUUGCUAUAUCAAGACCUCAAAAGAAUGAAGGAGAUAGGAAGGUUAUGACUUGGAGAACUGAGAAAGGCAAAAAGGGAGAGGAAAAUUAUUUCUUUUGCAGGUGACAGGUGUGGCCAGCACAGUUUAGUGGCAGAGCAGUGGCUUUGGGAUCAGCAGGUGGUGUCCUGUGCCUGACUUGCCUGCCAGUCUGAAUGAACACCUCCAACGCUCUGAGCCUCCACUGGGAAGUGCUCUGGGACUGGCUACCACCAUGUCUUGCUUAUAAAAGAUGAGCAAAUAACCCCUCUUAAAGCACAAGGCUUUUACCUUCUCCAGUAUUUGACCCUGGUGAGAGUUCUCACUGGAGUCAAGCACCAGGGUGAAGACUUAAGGCUGUUUCUCCAUGGCUUUUAGAAAUGAUAUAAAAAAUAGCAUGUUCAAGCUAAAAGGAGGAUGGAAAAGAGGUCUGCAGAAAGGACCAGAAUACUUAACAGUCAGCAAAGCAUAAGUAAAUAGACAAGUUAUGAUCAAUGAGUUUGUUUGAAUUUGACAGAGCUUUCGUGCAAACAUAGGGGAAGGAAGGGGGGUGAAACAUUCCCUGCCAGUAUGAGCUGUAAUAAAGGACCUGCUGUUUUCUGAUUCUCACUCUCUGUGAAAAUUGAAAAGGUUAGCCAGGUAAUUGAAAUCGGGACUGGAAUACAAAUAUGGUGUGAAAACCCUACAGCUGGCAAAUAAAGUUGCAGGGAAAAGA